GCUCGCGUCAUUCAACGGAUAGGAUACUGGCCUACGAAGCCUGGUAUGGAGGUUCGAAUCCUCCCGGGAGCA
rnacentral:tRNA from 1 species